CCUUUUCCUCUCGGAAAUAAAAGAAUGUUCUUUGAGUAUGAUUUUCUUUCUUUCUCAUCAGCCAUGAGUGAUGAAAGACAGAUACCAACAAAUGAAAUUAGACUCUCUCUGACUAUCCUCAGAUCAAAAACUCUAGAGCUGUAUAGCAUAUCACUGUAUGGAUAUACAUAAAGCAUUCAAUAAAAGACUGUAUUUUAUUCCUCAUCUUAAAUCAGCUGAACACAGCACAGUUAUUGCCUCAGAAGACUUUUCAGUAAGUAUUUGCUGAUCCACACAGAAGGAGCGACUGGCUAGUGCACAAUGAUCUAACGGCAUGGUUCUUUGUCAGUGUGAGUUGGUGAACAGAUAAACAUGACCUAUUCUUAAGUACUGUGCUUAAGAGUAAAGGAUGACUGAUUUAACUAUUUUCAACAUGGAGUAAUAUAUUAGUCUCUAAAGAGUAUUUACUCCCAUAGCAUAGGUAACUGCAAAACUGGGUAAAGCACCUACAUUUUUUGCCAUAACUCAGAGGCUCCACAACAGGGAACCCACCAAAUGACUAUAGCCUGCAGACAUGUUUUGUUUUGAUCAAUUAAAAUGUCUUUGAAGUAGCUGACACCAUUAGCUAAUUUAGAAAUUUAACAUAAAAAAAAAAACGUAUCUAUAGCUGUAGCUUUUGUUGAAAAGUCUGACAAUCUAGCAGGAGUUGGCCUGCCUUUCUUCAUAGCAAUAGCUUCUGGGGCUGAGUAGCACCGCCAUCUUUAGACAAGAGCAUGAGUGCCAGGGUUCUCCCAGAUCUGCCUUGGCCAGUUUAGCUCAUUGCUUGCCUUGACCCAGUAGAUAUUUAAGUUUGCCGUAGCUGGGCUGACGUAUAAAAAUCCAUACAUAACCUUAUGAGAUGGAGCAGGGAGUCCCUUUUUGGUGAUCUGCAUGCCCCCCACUUUCCCAGGCAUAGAAAUAAAAUAAAAUCUUGAGUUUCUUCAAGGGAAGCUAGCCAUGAAAAGUACAUAAAUAACUUGUUAUGCAAGAAGGU
rnacentral:lncRNA from 1 species